CGCUCCGUUAUUCGCGCUGCGAAGCUCGAGCGAGCAGGCAGCAGGCACGAACCGCUCCGCGUGUGUCGUCUUAUUACGCCUCAAAAUGCGAUCGCGAUUAUUCUCUUGUAGUUGACGACUUAUCGUCUCGCGCGGUAGGUUAGUUAACCUCUGAACAAUGGCUAUUUAUCAUGGCAGCCACUUCGAGCGUUCAUGUUUUUCGAGAAGUAAUUGCUUGAAUCGCUGAAUAGCAGCCGAAUGAGAUUCGAUCUUUAAGUACGACUAAUCACAUUUGAGCACUAAUUACGUGAGCUUACCUGGUGAGCGAUAAUACCGAAUGUUUCCUUGUGCGAUGUACGCAUAAUAAUUCCUUUAGAAGCACUUUGAUAUAAACGUAUCUAAGCCUUGUUGAUUCUACGCCGUUUUUGCUCCGAUUGCGAGUGAGAGAGAGGUACGCAGGUUACUGGAUCUGCCUCGAGUAUCGAAAGCCGUGUGACGUAUCGAGCGUCUGUAUCGAUAGCCAACUUCAGGCGUAACAACGAAGCAUUCGACGUUUGGUGUAUGCAUGCAGUACGUCUUCCUGCAUUUCGUGACGGUUACGGAUUACAGGCGAGUGUUUUAAUUCAUCGAUUAAUCAAUCGCGAAUGCAACCUUGCUCCGUAAAAGCAGCAGCAUUUGCUUUGUCUCACACGCGUUUCUCCGCGACGUACGACGCCCGUUAGUGUUUACAUCGAAGAUUGUUUUUUCCGGCCGUUCGUCGACAUUCUUGGACGGAGCAGGUAGUAAGGUACGCGCGCGAGUGAGUGUGUUUGUGUGUGUACAUGUGCGUGUAACAAAGGAAUCUGAGAGGAGGAGCAGGCCUGGGAGGCGUCAGGCAACGGCGGAGCAACCGUAAAUACCUCGGCGUGAUAUUCAACUCCGCUGCUGCGCCUCAUACCGUAUCACCGCAGUUUGUACCGUGGCUGAUUGUGAAUAACUCCGCUCGUUGCGCAUCGGGUCGGUGAGUCAUAAAUCAAUUUUUUUUAUUAUAUUUUAAUAUCCUGCGCAGGACAACUGAAAGAAAGAGUCUGAUAGUUGAUACAAACUCUUUUCUUCAGUAGCCAAAUAAUUUUCCGAAGGGGAAAACGAGUACCCAAUCGCGUGCGAUCGGUCCUCGGGAGUGCCGUGUAAAGUACACUGAAAAUAAAGUCUGGUAAUAAGCACCAAAUGUAUAGUGUAAUAGUAUCAAUUAACUAUUUCAAUGUAACCAAAAGUAAUUUUAUUUCUUUAAAUAUUUAGUAAAG